UUCAAAGAAGACACUUUGCUGUUGAUAGCAGAGUUGCUGUCAUCCCGUCAGCUCUCGCCUCAAACACAUGGUCUUCAUUCUGUGUCUGCUUCCCCUGUUA